rnacentral:lncRNA from 1 species
CUACAGAGGUAAGAAAGUCUUAAGGGAUUAAACCAAGAGAAAAGCUGCUGCAUUUGGGACUUGCUUUCUUUAGAUUUUUUUUUUUACAAUUUUUUAAAAAUAGAGAUGAGGGUCUCACUCUGUUGCCCAGGAUAGUCUUGAACUCCUGGGCUCAAGCUAUCUUCCAGCCUUGGCCCCCCAAACUGCUGGGAUUAUAGGCGCAAGGCAUUAUGCCCAGCUAGGUUUUUUUUGAGAUGGAGUCUUGCUCUGUCGCCUAGGCUGGAGUGCAGUGGUGCAAUCUCGGC